GAUUUUAUUAUUGUCUUUAAUACUACCUUUAUUUUUCUUUAUUCUCAAUUAAGGAUAAAAUAAAUUGUAAUUAUUGUAUUUUCACUAUAUAAACCAGCUAAGGCAAUAAGCAGUACACUCCUGUCACCUGUUUCGCAUGCCAUAACUUUGAUUUUAAACCAAAAUUUGAGGAGGAGUUUGAAUAUCAGAGUAUGUUUCCUUAACAGCUUCCCAAACAUCCCUUGCAGACGUAAAACAUGUUAAGGCUUACCUAUUCCAGUUUCCAUAGAGCUUACCAGCCACGCAAUAAUCAAGGAGUUUUCCGACUUCCAUUGUUUGUAAACGAGGGUCUCCUGUUGCCGGUUCAGCUACUGCUCCUGUUAAGAAAUCAAUUUUUCCUUUGCUAUCCAAUACCAAUCGAACGUUUGAGCCAUUCAUUGUAGUUAUUCCCAUUCAUUUUAGGGAUAUUGACCUUGAGGGAGUAUGAGGAACCCUCUCGAUCAUUACCGCCUAUGUUGAUCACGCGUCACCAAAACAAUGUUGUUCUGUUUCCAUUGUGCCGUCAUUACUGCCACUGUUUAUGACCACCGACGGUUCCUCAUGUACACCGUUUCCCGGCCCCGCCGUUUCCAUGGCCACCGUCCGAACAGAUUGUGGUUGGUCGCCAUGGUUGGAUCCAGUGUAGGCUUGUGAUAGGGGAGGCCACAUGUUGUUGUCAUUCGCCAUAGGAGGUUAAUAGAGUAUGUGAAUUGGGUCAAAAAAUACGUACAGGGAAAUUUAUGGUAACCCUAACCCAAAAAAUAGGUUGAGGAAGCUAGGUACCCUACCCAGUGCUCUUGAUCCAUAUUAGAAAAUUGGUAAAGCUGUUAUAUUUUAUUCAUCANGAAUAAAGAAAAAUAAAGGUAGUAUUAAAGACAAUAAUAAAUCGGAAAUAAUAUAUUUUCCAACAAUUGGGUUAAUAGAGCUCUCCCACUAUCUAUUAUUUAACAAGGAAAUGUUAAAAAAUCUCAUGAACUGUGGUAUAAUAAUGUACAAAUUGGUGCUACUGGUGUUCAGCAGAAUACUAACCACCGUGGUUGUUAGGAGCUCGGGUUAACUCCCUCAACUGUCCACCGAGUGGAUUGGGAUAAAGAUCGCUGGGGAGGAAGGUGGUCGGCACGCAAUGAAAAGAUCGUAAGCGUGUGAAAUCUGCAAUCUGUUUCGAUCCAGUUUGGCCAAAAUCCGACAUGUUUGAACCUUUGACCCGUUUUCAACUGGAUCCACAUCACACAUACCGGCCCGUUCUGGGCAGAAUUUGACCGACUCUCUUUCAAAAUAGGUUAAGCAGCGCCAAAAGUUGUUUGGGACAUGUUACUCUUUUAUUUAGUACUGUAUCGGAAAUAUGGAAAUUUCUACAUUUACUAUUCAUUUAAUAUGAAUCAAUUCCCCUUCUUUUAUUCAGAUUACUUUCUCCAACUAUUCUCAUCUCUAUAUUGCAAUUCAUAUCCAUCUUCUCCCUCUGCACCGCAAUUCAUCUUUGUCUCAGUUUUAAUCAUUUUUUAAAUAAUUAUGCUUUAGUUGAUGUUUGGGAGUUUGAAAAAUUAGGUUUUUUUGAUGAAUAUGUUGCUACUUAUGAUUAAAUAAUGAGAAUUUUAUAUUUAGGUUUUUUUCCUAGUUAUUUAUGUAGUUUUAUCUAUUUUGUGGAUCUUACGAUCCUAUUAUUUAUGCUUUUUCCAUGCUCAACCGAUCUUCAGUGGGAUCCCAAUUUUGAUAACCAUGCUACUACAAUGAACCCCUAUACCAUAACAUACUUUUACUAUUUCACCGUUGACAAUAAAAAUUGUUUGUAAAUUAUUUUAAUCCCGACAGAUAUCAUGUCAGCACCUUGAUAAAUCUUCUUACAUAGUAAUAAUAACUGGUAUUUUCAUCCUUCAUUAAUUGUUCAUUUUUAUACAAAAUAAGUAUGUAAGGUUGCGUGCAGUAAUAAUAACUGGUAUUUUCAUCCUUCAUUAAAUUGUUCAUUUUUUAUACAAAAUAAGUAUGUAAAGUGAGUGCUGAACUAAUCAAUAAAAACUUAUUGAGACAUAUGAUGGAGACAAGAGUUUAGGACUAUGCAAACACCAAACAGUUAGAAUUACAAAUGAUAAUACCUGAAGCAAAACACCAAAUGACUGAGGUUUUGUCAAUUGCAAACACUUCACGAAUCCCACCCACAGUUUGGGUUGUUUCCAUAUCUACAGCAACGCAUUUAGUCAAGUAUAUGGAAACGGAACAGCUGAGUGGAUUAUCAAACAUAGAUUGAUCAAAUAAUUACCUGCUUCUUCACAAGGCGAGCGAGAAUCCCAUAAUAAAAUCCACCUGUAGAAAUUUAACCAAGUCAAUAAUUGUAAAAUAUAUCAAAUUCAAAUCAAACAGUAAAAACAUAUAAUAGAAUGAUGGUUUCAAAACACUAACACUAAGCAAUCAUUACUAAUCAAUUCCUAAAUUUGUUACACAAACAAUAACCAAAUGUGUUCUUUGUAUUAUUGCAUUCCUUGUAUAAGCAAGCUUCUUACCAGUGUUGGAAAGCACUUAUUGCUUGUAAUACGUACGCAUGAACAAUAAAGGAAGAGAAUUUGCUCAACCUACAGGGAAGAGCAGAUGCUGUAUGAGAUCAAACUAUAAGUUGAAUAUCCUUUCCAGUUACACAAAGCAAUUCCCACAUAACAUACCAAUUGAUUCAAAACUUUGGCAAGAACUUCUUGGGUAAAGUUUGUCGCUGCUCAAAGCAAGCAUUGCACGCAUCAGUUACCUGCAUAGGACCCUUCAGUUAUGCAAAAUGUAUUUUGAUUUCUUGAAUAAGCACGUGCACAAACACAAUCGUCAUAGAGCCCUACCUUUUUAAGGGAAUUCCAUCUCUUUUCAGGAUCAAUUCCAUGAAUAGCAAUUAAUAUUCAGCUGGUGUAAGCACCGACCAGAUUGUGAUGAUCCUGUAUAUGAAUCGCAAUUAAUUCAAUAACUAAAAAGUGUCAAUGGUUCAGAAUAAUAUUUUAUUAUAAUCAUGGAGAGUAUACUUCACACAACUUUGUUGCUAAUAAAAGUUAUCUCCUAAAAAUUGUAGCUACAGGUGCUAAUUUUCACGCAGGUGUAAUGCUAAUCCUAACAAUAUAUUUCAUUUCAUGAUUUUGCAACAAUACUCCACACCCACUCAGCCACGCCCUUCCCCCAUCCACUUCUCACAUCCCUCUUCCACUACCUUCCACCACCUUCCCGCCGAAAAAAAAUGAAUGAACUCGCGUAACAAAAACAUUUCCUCCAUGUGCUAAUUACAAGUUCUGAUGUCUAGUUUUGUUAUGCCUCCAUUUUAUAUUUCUUGGAAGGUCAAAAUUUAGUUCUUUAUUCACGUUGAUGAAACCUUUCCUAAACUCAAUAUAUAUAUAUUUCAUUUUCAAAACUGUUCAUUUUACUUGUUAACAAGAAGAUAAUAGACUCAUAAAGUGAACAAUUGUGUGUGAUUUUGAAAACAGUGAAAAUGCCAAAAACUUAUUUCAUUAUUCCAAAAUGUAUCAUCCCUAACUGGCAUUUCAUCUUAUCUACAAUCACAACGGUUCACUUCAAGAGCUCUAAAUCAUUUUAUUAGAAAUUAAAAUGAACACAUUUUAGGAAAUGAAAACAGAAAAUGUUUUCACAAAGUAAACCGGUUUUAUAUCUAAUAGCUAUUUGUCCAAUUUUUCACUUAAUUCUUGCUUGUAUAUCUUGAGAAGUUACACUUCAAAAGGUCCAUAGCUAAAAUUCUAGAUUUCUCAAGUUAUUGUUACAAAGUUCUGUUAUACUUAUAGCAUCUAUAAUAGCUUUUGUUUAGGUGGACAGCUGGCUAUAGAAUAAACACUUGUUCUACUAACCUACUUAACCUUUAAGAUUGAAAUGAGUCUCCUUAGGUUUCUACAUUAAUUAGCACUCUGAUUAUUGGCUAUAAAAGAGUAACUCACCUGCAAUAUGCGACCAAGUGCUUCUUGAAACUUCUCAAAGGCAUCUUAACAAUGCUGGCAAAAACGGCAUUACCUAUUAAAGAUAUCACGAAUGAAAACAAGAUAUUUCAAGAUUUAUAUGAAAGUAACAAAGAAAAAGACAUAACUUACAAACAAUUCUUACAUGACCCAUGAUAAUUAAUACUUCACAUGACAUUUUUUCUUGAUUUGAAAUCACUUUGUAAUUUUACUAAAACAGUUAAUUCACAUCUAAUGUAUAGAAGAAAAUAGGAAGUACCUCCUUUUCGGUAGGAAUGGCAAUAUUGGAUAAGAACCUCUGCAUCCUGUAAAGAACCAGCCAGAUAGUAAUCGUAUUAAGCAAAUCCUGAGUUUUUAUUACAAACUUACACUGGAAAACUAUAUAUACCUAAGUUUGAAUCAUGUAACCUUUUCACAGUAAAUAUUAAUCCUUGGAAGGGAUUGUACCAUCAGUAAGUGUAUGCAACACCCGAUAUGGCCAAUGUAAAAAUAUCAAUACACAAUAAAUUACCAAGAGAUUCACAAGAAUUAUAUGGUAAUACAGUAUUCAAUAAUUUCUGUAAAUUUUUACAUUUGCAAAAAAUUAUAGGUAAAACAGUAAACCUCGCAUUAGGAGUUUCUCACUUCAUUUGGGGAUCUGAUAUAAUUUCAAGCAGAACUGAAGAUGAACCCAAUGUACGAACUAGUAUGGAAUCUGACGAUGAAUAGCCUGCACCAUACAAUUAAUGACAUAAACCUAGUGACCAAAACAAUAGUUUGACAAUAUUCACUAGAAUACCAUAUGUCAAAAUUGAAACUGCUUGCUGCUUUUGAUUUGUUUCUAUAGAUGACAAAUAUUUCGCGAAAGAGGGGAGUGUUUCUGUCAUCACAAAGCAUCAACAUAAGGAACGUUAAUCAAACAACUAAAAGUAUGUAACAGAACAUGAAAGUAUAGAAAAAUCUGUCAACAUAUAUGAAAUUAUAUUAUAAUAUCUUGAUUGCAUCUCGAACUUAGAUUAUUCUCAUAGAACUCGUCUCCAAUAUUUUUUUAUCUAUCUUGAUCUAUUUCCUUAUUUAAUAAGAAUUACGAUAGAAUCUAAUGAAAUAGCCGGAAUAAAGUUCAACUCAUUUAUUAAAUAAGGAAAUAGUCGGAACUGAGUAGAACUGGUGGAGUUAUUAAUUUGUUGAACUUGAUUCAUGAUCAAAUUAGUCGAACUUGAUCUCAAAAUUAAGUUCGUAAAACAAAUGAGUUGACUUCAUUAUUCCGGUCAUUUCAGAAAAGCUGUUUUGGCCCUAGAUUUCUCCCAGUGAUUGUUUGUUCUAAGUUCUAAUUCUAUCCCACCAGACGCAGUCGAACUUGACUUUUGCUCCAAUGCAUUCUAUAACCCUUCUUUUUUGUCUAGAGUUGAUCUACCAGUCUCCAAUGUCAAUUACUUUAUUGGCAUUCAUUUUUAUUAAUGAGCCAAGCCAAUAGUGUUGAGCGGAGGGGUGUGUAUUAUGAGUUCCACGCAAAUGCGAGAUAUCUCCAUCUCUUCUCUCUAAUACUACCUUUAUUUUUCUUUAUUCUCAAUUAAGGAUAAAAUAAAUUGUAAUUAUUGUAUUUUCACUAUAUAAACCAGCUAAGGCUGAUGAAUAAAAUAUAACAGCUUUUACCAAUUUUUCUAAUACCAAUAUUAAUCAUACAAUGUAUGUAAACAUGGUGGCCUUUUGAUGAAUAUUUAUAUCAUUU
rnacentral:lncRNA from 1 species